rnacentral:misc_RNA from 1 species
AGAGAGAGAGAGAGAGAGAGGGAGGGAGAUCAUAUGGAUAUUAGAAAAAUAGAGAUCAAUUAUUAGCAGAAGGAUUUCUACUAAUCCUUUCCCCUCUUUUUACCUUUCUCUGAUCAUCUUCCUUCAAAGAAAAUGCAGUCCAUGCUUAACCUCCAGGGAAGCUACGGCCUUCCUCUUUCUGUUUCUGGGAUCACCCAUCAUCUCCCUCUCUCUAAAGAGAUGGUAGAUCAUGAUCGCAGGAGGGAAGCUAUAAAGAAACAAAGAUCACAAGCCAGAGAGUGUUUGCAUGCAAAUCAAGAACUGGGUUCUGAAAGAGGGGCUAGUGACUUCCAAGAAGAAGGUGAGUUGGAUGAAGAUCUAGCAAGUGUUUUGCAAGAUCUAUCUUGUUCCCUGAGUUGUACAGCUAAAGCCGCUUAGCUUGUUUUAGCAUUAAUAUUAAAUUAAUUAAUUAUUGUAUGCUC